UGGGAACGUACCCUUCGGUUCGGAACAACCCAGGGAAACUUGGGCUAAUACCGGAUAAGUCCGUAAGGAGAAAGAUUUAUCGCCAAAGGAUCGGCCCGCGUCUGAUUAGCUAGUUGGUAGGGUAAUGGCCUACCAAGGCUACGAUCAGUAGCUGGUCUGAGAGGAUGAUCAGCCACAUUGGGACUGAGACACGGCCCAGACUCCUACGGGAGGCAG
rnacentral:rRNA from 1 species